CCUUGUUCCUAGUUUAGUUCUAUUACAUAACACAGUGUGUUGUGUGCCUCAUAUCUAUGCUGCACAUAGAUACUGCAAGGAUGAAGAUACGAAUAUGUGAUUUUCCCCUUCCUUUUCCUAUUAUUUCCAGCUGAGAGAAUCAUAUAUGUAAGUUUUAUACAUCUCUGACCAUGAGCAUUUCAAGCUUUCAUUGACCUGAAUCUCACUGUGAUAUGUUGACCACAACUACAUUAAGAAGACUGAGCACACUACUAUUGAAACCCAUUCAAGGGCCUUAGAGGAAAAAGUUCAAAGUUAGCAAACUGAGCUUCACCAAAGCUUGUCUUGUUCCUGAAUGUGAGCUGUCAGCUGCAAAAGGGAGCAGCCAGGCUUCGGAGCAACAAGAUGCAGAUGCUGGAAGUUAAAGUCAAGCAAACCCAGAUUAGAAACACGAUUAUCAACUGACAUAACUUCUCCAGCAACACAGUCAUUCAUCUGAUGCAUGAAAGCUUGAAAUAGCAUUUAGAUUCACCCCACCUACAACCUCAGUAACUGAAGUACCUAUUUCAGGAGUUUUAUAAGUGCAGUUCUUCAGGAACACACUGCAGCAGAGUGGGUCCCUCACAGCAUCACAAGUCCUUCCAGCAAACCUACUCCUGUGUGGGCUCCUCUUUUUAAAGAUCCACAGACCCUGCCAGAAGCCUGCUACAGUUUGAGCUUCUGAUGGGGUGAAACCUCAAUUGGGCAUUCAUAUGCUCCACCAUGGAUCCUCAUGGGCUGCAUGGACAGGAGGACAGCCUGCCUCACCACUGUCUUCACCAAAGGGUACAGGAAAUCUCUGCUCUGGCACCUGGACCACCUCUUCCCCCUACUUCUUCACCUUGGUGUCUGCAGAGCUGUUUCUCUCACAUAGCCUCACUCCUCUCUGGUUGCAGAUGGAUGCACAGGUGUUUUUUUCACCUUUUUAAAUAUAUUGCUCCAGAGACACUGCCACAGUUGAUGAUGGACCUAGCCUUGGCCAGUGGCACAUCUGUCUUGGAUCUGUUGGACAUGUAGGAAGCUUCUAGCAGCUUCUCUCAGAAGCCUACCCUGUAAUCCCCAGCUCCUAAAACCUUGCCACACAAACUCAGUACAGUAAAUAAGAACCCGAUGCUACAUACCCUCAAAAGUUACUCUCAAGAGACACUGUGCAGCUUUAGCUGACACCACAUUUCAGAGUUAUUGCACUGUAUGUAGACUACUGCAAAGAAAUCAGUGGUAGCCUGAACUGCCCAUGUGACUUUUUCUCCCCAUUUGUUCUCGCUGCAGUUUUAUGGGUCAGAUUCUCCCUCUUAUAUCAAGUAAAAAAUAAUUAAGCUUGCAUAGCCAUAAAGACAAGUUUUGAAUUGUCAUGGCAAACCUACACCAUCUCAGUCAGAGAUUCUUAUAAUGUGUUCUUACAAUUUGUUCCCUUGUGCUACACAUCUGCAGAUUUAGGGAACUGCCUCUACAGUCACAUGAGAAUGUUUGAGUGCAUACUGCAGCUCCUUUGCUGCUACUUAUACUGACCUGGCAAACACUUGGGAUGCAGAAUUUGGGGAAAUCUUCAUAAUUUUGAUCUUUGAUUGUCUCAGUUUCUAGCACUGGCAGUAUAAUGCAGAGUACUGGUAAUAACAAUGCACUCCCUAAUGCACUGUAAGACUCAUAAUGAAAUUUAGUGCCAGUUUAUACUGAAUGCAAAAAAAAAAUGACCUUUUGGAAAAUCCAUUCUAAAAAGUCCUCCUGGUUUUAUGAUUUAGAAGUUAAUAUGCAUGAAAGUCUAACUCCUAGAAAUUAUUUUCUUUGAUUUCUUCUUUUUCCCUGUAGUUUGUUUAAGAAUCAUACUUAAAGUUAGUUUACUCACACCACUUCAAAUCUGCCACUGCUAUUCUGUAUCAGUCACUUGAAAUGCCUCCAAUUUCUCCAUAGACAGUGGGUUUUCAUAUGCCAGAAAAAUUUCAAACACUAUUUUUUCUAAACUGCAGCUUCAGAGAGAUGCUGUGUCAUGCAAAAAACAUUGAAGGCUAUAUUGAUAAGAAUAAAAUUUAGUUGUAGAGGAAAGCAAAGAAAAAUUUACACUGUCUAAAUAUUGCAGUGUUAAUAUGUGUAUUCUCUCUGAGCAAGUUAUCAUUAAUAAAUGAAAAAAAUGCAGCAAAGAUAUACUUUAUAGGAAAUGUUAACUACUUCUGGCAUAGUAAUACCAAGGUGCCAUGAGUGAAGUGUCCUAAGUGCUUAUUAAACAAAAGCUGGGAUUCCACAGACCCAGUCAUAAAUUAAUUUCCUAGACAAGCACACUUGUAACCAUGGAAGGGAGUAUCACUAUAUUGUAAAACCCUAUGGAUGAUUAAAGUCAAAGACCCUUCCUGGAUGAGCUUGAACUCAUACAUGGGGUCAGAGGCAGAAAUUCUCACCUACAGGAAAAGGUAGGCUCAAUUUCUUCUAAACUAACUGAGCUUAUGAAUGCAUCUCAAUGAUAGUUAUCAGCUACUAAUUUACUAUUUAUUUUCUCAUCUUCUAUGCAUGAAUUACAAUGAUGGAGUGGGAAAACUUAAAUUUUUUAUCCAUGGAAGCUUGAGGAUCUCCCCAUGCUCCCUGCAGGCUCCUCCAGCAAGGCUCACCACAAGCCAUGCCUUGGCAGCUGGGACUGUCCCUUCAAAACAGACAGAAAGCUCUAAUUCAUCUUAAUUUAGAAACUAAUCAAGUUCCAUCUUGUAUGGUAUUGAUUUCCAUGUAGUCAAUGGGCACUCUGUGUCUUUGAGAUGUGUCUCAGAAACUCAGGUGGAGAGAGGAGUGAGGAGCUCUGCAGGGAGAGAGACAGCACAUCCAUGUCCCUGCCCUCCCUGGACUCUGUCAUUCACCUGCACCAAAUGUCUUGUCCUGCUUUCCCCAGACAGGUGGGGAAUUAAGCAAAGGUCAAAAUGAAAUGUGGGGGGGGGUUAUUCCUUGUAUAUAUAAAAAGAGGAUUUUUCACCCUCUUAAACAUUACUGUAUCCAUCCUCACAGUAAAGGAAUUGCUUUGAGAAUUAAAAAUCCAGGUAGCUAAGGACAGAGAAAUGAUACCAAGAUGUGGCUGGUUGAGAAGCAAUGGCAGUGCAAGAUGAUGUUCAGCCUGGUAAAGAAAUCCUCCAGUUAGCCUGUGCUUGCAGUUAAGUAAUUUGGAGUAGUUAUAAUCUAGGUUAAAUAAUAAGCAAACCUGUAAGGCUUGCUUACAGAAUGGUUAAAUAAUAAGCAAGCCUGUAAAAUCACAAUGUUAAAUAUAUUAUUUUGUGAAGUGCUGUAAUAUAUGUCUCUGAGUAUGUGGAAUCAGAUUUGCAAUGCAUAUACACAUACAGAAAAUACACAUGAGCAUAUUAAUCAAUAUGCACAUGGAGUGCUUCCCAGUCAGAUGUCUCCACUAGAAUUCAUUAAUUUAAGAUCUUGCUGAAAUUAUACCAUGUUCAUCAGGUUAGAAAGAGAAAAAUAAACAUUCAUAUUUGCUUGAUUUUUUGAGUGUAGAGUGUCAGUUACUUUGCUGGUAAAGACUUUCAGUCAUAACAACUAAUCUUCCAGGAAAACUUUCUUUUAAUUUAUUUUAGAAGUUUAUAAUUUGGGUCUUAAAAAUAAGUAAUUUCAUGCUUCAUGAAUAACAAUAUAUUGAGACUUUUUAUCCUCACAUAGGGAAAUGAGCUAUGAUCAGACCUGGUGCACCCAAUAUACACUGAAAAUCCACUCCUGCUAAGUUGUAAGGAAAAUUUCUCUGCUAUCACUAGGUUUUGACUUAAAACUUAGAAUCCAUUCUUUUUUACUGAAGAUGACUGACCAUGUUAGAAUGUAUGGAAAACGUCUCACAAGAAACAAUUUUUAUGCAAAAAUCAACAUUAGUUUACCCAGUUACCCCAUCUUUGCUGCAGCACCAUUGACAAUUCAUAUGAAAAGUAAAGCCACAGCAUUUGUUUAUGAACUCACAGCAAUUUUCCUGAGCAAAAUUAUUAAUAGCAUUUUAGCAUCUGGGAUAAGAAACUUUAAAGUCAGAGUAGAUGUAUUUUUCC